rnacentral:siRNA from 1 species
AUUUACGUCGUGCCAAUGGUC